rnacentral:misc_RNA from 1 species
CCAACAUCACAGCAAACAAUAUUUCUUGUCGCGCACACCUGUGCGAGUGGUGCCUCUCACGUCUUUUCUCGUGGCCGCACUCAUCAGUGUGACUGGGGCUUUUCUUUCGCUCUCACCUCUCGCGCACGUGAAGGGUCCGUCGCAUCUUUUCUCUGCCGCUUGGCGCAUCGGCGCGUCCGCUCUUUAUGGUCAUUUUUCGCUCCGGCUUCAGCAUUCGCCCAGCACCCCUCCCUUUAUUACCCGCUGGCCUGUGUGUGCGCUAUGCGAGGCCAUAAAUAUGCACACUGCCGCGCAGUCAGACGUAUUGAUUGCACCUCAUUUACGUGCGCUGUUUUUCUCUGUCUGACCAAGUGCAGGCUCUAGCACAGUGGCGUCGGUUUUCUAUCGCCCCUCUGCCAUUCUGGAACAACCGCAGCAACAAAUUGGAAGGGUCCACCCAGCAAUGUCGCGCCCGACGUGGUCACACGGUGGCCGCAUCCUCUUCAAUGCGUCCCGCGUCUACUAUGUGCCGAAUGAGCCGUGUCUCCCACCGCUUCGGUGGAUGCCGGAGCGGCAGCGGUUUGAGUAUCUGCGCAAGGACAUCGAAGAGGACGUCUCGUUGCGUGCGUCGCUGGCGGAGCUUGCCGAGGCUUGCUCGCAGCUGUACCAGCUACAGCCGCUCCAGCAGCAGUUGCCAGCCGCGUCUCUGAACGGAUACUUGCCGUGCGAGGCGCUCUACGGCGUCCUGCCCCUGGGUGCAGCAAGCAACUCUGCCCUGCUUUACGUCACCGAAAAGGAGUACGUGUGCACGCUGUGCGUGGGGGGCGCGGAGCACGACGUGUUUGCCGUGCGCGGACUGCAGUGGCUCUUUUUGCCGUGCGCCACGUCGGCCUUGUCAGGAAGGCGACAGAGUGUCCGGCCUCAGCAGCAUCACCGCGGCAGCGUGCGAAGUGGAAACCGCAACGAUGGCGAGAUGCCGGAUGGCGCAGAUGAUGACGCUGAAAGCGACAUGUAUGGGCGGCACCCUUGCAACUCCCGCAACGACAACUCCACGAGCGAGACAGAUGAAGAGGAGGAGGACGACGCCGAGAACGGGUCGUCCACGAUGCAGCGCUUGCCCACAAAGACGCUGAACGACUAUCUUGCUGUAUUGAACCGCUUUUGCGAGUCCAUCAACAUCGAGGACGGAGGUCAGCGUGCCCGUGCGGCAGCAGCUGCUGCCGCUUAUCCGCACACCGACGGCGAGGUGGAAGAGAGAUCUUCGCAGCUGCCUGGGAUUGUUGGCCCCGCCAACCGCUUCUCGUACUUGUAUUACUCGCCUACACUGGACCUCAGCGCCGAUCCCGCGCACCUCUUGGCUCUGAUCACUCACAGUGCGCAUCCGCACGUCGAAGAUGGUGCUGCAUCGACUGGCGGUGGUGCUGUGAGUUACACGACAAACGGCUCGCUUUCGUCGAAUACUAAUCGAGAUAGCAGCGGCACGACGACCGAGUUCUCCGAUCAACCACGCCUCUCCACGCGCGGGCGGCACAGCGCGGCGAGCUAUUUGUGGGAGGAGAGGCGUGCGGCCGCCCUCACACGCCAGCUGUACCAGUGGAAUGGACCACUUAUCGGUGACGCCUUUGCCCUGCCGACCCUGGCGGCGCUAAGGGAAGAAGAGGUGCGGGGCCGUGCGGAGUCGAGCAAGAAACCGUCCGCCCUUGAGUCGAGGCGCGAGCCGUGGAGGUUCGUCUGUGCCGAUGAGCUGCUACGUGACGAGCUGGCACAGUACCCAAACCGCGGCGGUCACGGUGGCGGUGCCGUCUCUCUGCCUGCCGGCACGAUGCCCGCCACAUCCUUCUCGUCGUUGCCCCUUUACAUGCCAUCGUACAUUCGUGGCCUUGUCGCCCAGGCAGUGGCGUCCCCGUCCGUGCGCAUGACGCUGGUGACUCGUAUAUGCUGCCGCUGGGCCGGGACGCGGUACAACCGGCGCGGCCUCGAGCCCGGGCACAGCGGCGUCGUAGCGAACAUGGCGAUGACGUCGCUUUGGGUGACGCCGCAAUCAACGACGAGUGCCGCUCCUUCAACGGAAAGGAGCGAAGCCACCUCAGGUGCCAGAAGGUUUGCUGUGUACAGCAUGCUUCGCGGCUCCGUCCCGCGGCGAUGGGAGCAGCCCGCAAACCUCUCGCUGAAGCCAACCAUCAAGAUCGCCCCGGUCGGCAAUGCUGCCGAGGAGCUUGGUCGCCAUGUACGACUUCUGAAGCAGUGCCUGCCGCAGUUGCACGCGCUCUACUGUCUGGACACCAUGUCCACCUCCGAGUUGGAGGAGCCGCUCUCUGAGGCCUUCGCCACCGCUGUCCGUCGCUACAACGAGGACCCGCCGAGCCCCUUCACGGCCGCUAAGGGUGGCACUUAUCUCGCCACGUCAAGUGCAGGAGCGACGGCAGAAGAGAAGGAUGGCGCAGCUGCUGCCGUAACGGCAGGCAAUGGAGAAGAUUGGGCCGGCGCAUCUCACACGCCGGCUCGUGACCCCAUGGUGACACUGGUGAAGUACAACGUGAAGAGGGCUCUGAAAACGCUGUCUUACGCCGCCAUGAUGCGCGAAUGCAUUGCCAAACUGGACCGUGAAUCUGGCGGGGACACGUGGCUGGAUUUCACCAAUGGCGAGGCGCACGCUCCGCGCGCUGGAGAGGACAGGGCCGCCAUGGGAGGAGGGGAGUCGACUUUGCAGAACAGUAGCGGUCUGACAGGCACGGAGGCAGAUGCCAGACACAGGGACGCUGCACCGCGGCUCUCGCUGGCCCAUGUGCAGUCAAGAUUGGUGCGGGUGAACUGCCUAGACUGCCUGGACCGUACCAACCUGGUGCAGAGCUUUCUGUGCUGUGCUGCGCUGCCGCAGAUGAUCGAAUACGUAGAAGGGAGAUCACAAGAGCGGAACCAGCCGUCGGCGUCUGCGGAGCGCCUCUCUCGGAGUGAUGGCGACUUAACACAGGCGUUCAACCGUCUUCGCCUGCUGCUUGUUGCGCAAGGCACGGCCGUCGCGCAGCUCUACGCCGGCACGAAGCCGCAUUUCGUUCCCUACAUGCUUAACGGGCAUUACCAUUGGUCGCAUAAGGCGAGGGAGAGUGUGCUGGCGCUACGCCGGUGGUACCAACAGAACUUCUUUGACGGCGUGAAGCAGGAUGGAGUGUCGCUGGUGACACGGCAGCACGAUCCACAGGUGUUCAAUGCCGAUAUCGAGAGCCCCUUCUCCCGAGAUCUCAGCGGGAUGAAUCACCAGGUACUCUGCGGCGUCCUCCUUGGCGUGAUGCCGUUCUUGUACAGCCUCCUCAUGUGCGUGAGCGAGAGAGGGGGCUUCUCCUCCUUUGUCUUUCAGCUGCACUUUGGCAUUUGCAUGUGCUGGAUUGCCUACUUCUCUGUGCUGUACAACAAGCUCAUGCGGUAUCGCGCCACAUACACGAAUCGCCCGCUGCUGCUAUACACACGCCAGGCAGACUGGUGCUGAAAGACUUACGGCCCCCAUGGGGAGGCAAGGAGUGGCGAAUGUGGUGACGAGGAGGCACAGAGCGCUUUCUGUGUUUGUGUAUUUGCCCUGUGGGCGUUGGCCUUUUGGCGGUCAAGAGAGCAGACGCACGUUCUUGCGCGAGGCGCCGCAUAUCUGUGCAUGUGCUUGUGCAUGCGCCGCUUCUGCGACGGCGACCCUGUGAAACAGAGCGGCGUUUUGUCUGCUUCAUCUGUGUUUUUUUUUCCUCAUAUUAGCUUCUCACUUCCAUUAUCUUUCGACAUUCACGCAGGCCCUUGCGCAGGAUUAGGGGAGUGAGGAGGAGGAGAGGCAGCAGCGGGCCGAGUGGAAUAGCGCAUCUUUAUCGUGUGUCUGUGUGUGGCCUGCGGCUGUUUCUGUGUGCUAUCAAGUGGCGUUGUGCAUGCCGUUUUGCUUUCGCGUGUGUGUGUGUGUGCCUCUGGGCGUGCUUCGCAUAUCCGGACCUUCACGCAGCGUGGAAGAGGCUCCAUGCACCGGUUUGUGGCCGACUUUCACUACCGUUUAUCUGUUUCGCUGAACUGCCUACUCAUCACCCGCGCCUUCUCUUCGCGCUUUCCAUUAACCGGUGAAGACGGUGGCUGGAGGAAGAGAGCCGACGUUGCGCGAGUCGGCACUUCUCCUCACCUAUCUCUCCUCAUUUUUUAUUUCGCCUUCUGGCUGCAUCGGCUUUGCCGCUUCACCGAGGAGUGCACUGUCUUUUCCUACCUGGUCGCAAGAGCAGAAGAAAAU